GCAAACUUGGUCAUUUAGAGGAAGUAAAAGUCGUAACAAGGUUUCCGUAGGUGAACCUGCGGAAGGAUCAUUACCGAGUUUAGGGUUCCCCCCCCAAGGGGCCCGAACCUCCCACCCAAUGUCAACCUAACUCUUGUUGCUUUGGCGGCCGUGAUUAUGUACUCACCGCCGGCUCUCCAGCGGGCGAGUGCCGCCAAAAGCCCCUUAUUAAAAUCGUUUUUGAAAAUCGAGUCUGAAAGUGAAAUUCAAAAUAGCUGAAAAACUUUCAACAACGGAUCUCUUGGCUCCAGCAUCGAUGAAGAACGCAGC
rnacentral:misc_RNA from 1 species